UUGCUGUCACCUGUGGCAAAUAGCUGUGCACCUGCUCAACUGCGGCAUCCAACAGAGACAGAAGCUUCUGCCCGGGUCUUCAAGAAACGCACACGCUGUUCUCCACAUUUCCGUCCACUAGAGCCGCGCGUACGCUCGGGACUUUGCCCUGAUCCGGGUCCAGACGCUAGGACUCCGCGGUGGAGUGGCCUGUUGUAAACCAGCUGCGGACAUGAGCUGUGUGAUGCAACCUCUGAAUUGGAAGACAUUGCCUAGAGGUCCUGCCCAAGAUAAAAUAUCAAGUUGAUGAGGAUCAGCUGUAUCAUCAGAUUGUUCAACACCGAGACUUGAGCCUCCAAGUGGGUCAGUGGGCUGGUUGGUGGUGCAGCCC